AACCACCUGAUCCCAUCCCGAACUCAGAAGUGAAACGACGCAUCGCCGAUGGUAGUGUGGGGUCUCCCCAUGUGAGAGUAGGUCAUCGUCAAGC
rnacentral:rRNA from 1 species